UUUUUUUUUUUUUUCAAAACCUAUAUUUUUUCCCAGGAUGCUCAGAUCUCUCUCACAGACCUGGCCUCUAACCUCUGUGUUUUAGGGCUUCGGUGGUUCCGUCUCAUUGCUUGCAAAUAACAUUGCUUUUUAAAAAACUGCUUUACAUCUCAUGGAAGACAGAUCGCUCAGUGUUAAGCAACGAGAUUUUCAUGCAGAUGUCUCAAGAAUUGAUCCCAAUGCUCAGCUAGCAGGUUGGAGGCACACCCCUGCCUUGUGAAACCGCUGCCAGUCAGCGCUUGCAGCUGACAACGCUCAGCCCAAGGAUCCGGUUGGAUGACUUGGGUUAAGGCAGCUUCGUUUGGUCCACUAAAGUCACGCAGGUUGCCGACACACACGAGUGUAGGUUGCAUCUUUCAUGCUCUGCGGUACAGUUAACGAGAGGCUUUGGGCACGCUCUGCAUGUUCAGAGCAUAUUGUCUUUAUGUCGAAGUUCUGCUUUUUUCCUUCCGGUCUCGAGCAAGGAGGUUGGACUCUAAUAGACUCCUCCAGCUUCACUGUUCUCGGAUUCCUGCCUUGCAGCUGCCGGUACCCCUUUAUUUCCCAGCUGUUUCCCAAACGUGCCACUGAGAGCGGCCCACAGAGCAUACACAGGCUGUAACACAAGGGUAGGGGAGCCCUGGGGAGCCCAAGGACCAAACAGAAGGCUCAGAAAAAGAUCUCAGGGGCUGCCUUUCAGGGGCGGGCAAAACCAGGGGCCGAAACAUUGAAACCAAAAGUACCAGCAGGUUUAGCUUAAAGCUAAGGAGAGGGGUUCACUUUGAAAAACGAUGUUAAAUUCAGUAAAGAAACUGGGAAGCCACCAAAGGAUGGCUGAGGUGCCUGUUCUGGAGUCUGAAUGUGUGUUUUCACUGCUGAACCUUCCUUCCUUCCUUCAGCCUUUUGGAGUACAUCAACCAACGGAAGAAGCACCGGGACCGAUGGGUUGGCGCUCUGAAGUCCACUUCUGUUCCCUUGCAUCUGAUCUAUGGGCCGCUGGACCCCGUGAAUCCACACCCAGAAUUUCUCCAGCUCUACAGGUAGGCUUGGCGUGAUCAGAAGCUCACCCUAAAGGAAAGCACGCUGCCUUAACUACACCCCACAGUGCUUAAAGCACCCUCUGGUUGGUUUACAGUGUAAUUA
rnacentral:lncRNA from 1 species